GACGAACGCUGGCGGCGUGCUUAACACAUGCAAGUCGAACGGUAAGGCCUUUCGGGGUACACGAGUGGCGAACGGGUGAGUAACACGUGGGUGAUCUGCUCUGCACUUCGGGAUAAGCCCGGGAGACUGGGUCUAAUACCGGAUAGGACUGCGCGGUGCAUGCCGUGUGGUGGAAAGAUUUAUCGGUGCAGGAUGGGCCCGCGGCCUAUCAGCUUGUUGGUGGGGUAAUGGCCUACCAAGGCGACGACGGGUAGCCGGCCUGAGAGGGCGACCGGCCACACUGGGACUGAGAGACGGCCCAGACUCCUACGGGAGGCAGCAGUGGGGAAUAUUGCACAAUGGGCGCAAGCCUGAUGCAGCGACGCCGCGUGAGGGAUGACGGCCUUCGGGUUGGAAACCUCUUUCAGCAGGGACGAAGCGUGAGUGACGGUACCUGCAGAAGAAGCACCGGCCAACUACGUG
rnacentral:rRNA from 1 species